rnacentral:rRNA from 1 species
UACGUAGGGUGCGAGCGUUAAUCGGAAUUACUGGGCGUAAAGUGUGCGCAGGCGGCCGAGCAAGUCGAGUGUGAAAGCCCCGGGCUUAACUUGGGAAUUGCGCUCGAAACUACUUGGCUAGAGUGUGGCAGAGGAAGGUGGAAUUCCACGUGUAGCGGUGAAAUGCGUAGAUAUCUGGAGGAACACCGGUGGCGAAGGCGGCAUCCUGGACCGGCAUUGACGCUGAGGCGCGAAAGCCAGGGGAGCAAACGGG